GAUGAACGCUGACAGAAUGCUUAACACAUGCAAGUCGAUUCAAUUUACCUUCGGGUAUUGAGGAUGGCGGACGGGUGAGUAACGCGUAAGGAACUUGCCUCUUGGUCUGGGACAACUGUUGGAAACGACAGCUAAUACCGGAUAUUAUGAGAUUCUCGCAUGGGAAACUUAUGAAAGCUAUAUGCGCCAAGAGAGAGCCUUGCGUUCCAUUAGCUAGUUGGUGGGGUAACGGCCCACCAAGGCGACGAUGGAUAGCCGGCCUGAGAGGGUGAACGGCCACAAGGGGACUGAGACACGGCCCUUACUCCUACAGGAGGCAGCAGUGGGGAAUAUUGGACAAUGGGCCACAAGCCUGAUCCAGCAAUUCUGUGUGCACGAUGAAGGUCUUCGGAUUGUAAAGUGCUUUCAGUUGGGAAGAAGAAAGUGACGGUACCAACAGAAGAAGCGACGGCUAAAUACGUGCCAGCAGCCGCGGUAAUACGUAUGUCGCAAGCGUUAUCCGGAUUUAUUGNGCGUAAAGCGCGUCUAGGCGGAAAAAUAAGUCUGAUGUUAAAAUGCGGGGCUCAACUCCGUAUUGCGUUGGAAACUGUUUUUCUAGAGUACUGGAGAGGUGGGCGGAACUACAAGUGUAGAGGUGAAAUUCGUAGAUAUUUGUAGGAAUGCCGAUGGAGAAGUCAGCUCACUGGACAGANACUGACGCUGAAGCGCGAAAGCGUGGGGAGCAA
rnacentral:rRNA from 1 species